rnacentral:rRNA from 1 species
UACAGAGGUGGCAAGCGUUGUUCGGAAUUACUGGGCGUAAAGCGCGUGUAGGCGGCCCUGCAAGUCGGGUGUGAAAUCCCACGGCUCAACCGUGGAAGUGCACUCGAAACUGCAGGGCUAGAGUCCUGGAGAGGAAGGUGGAAUGCUUGGUGUAGAGGUGAAAUUCGUAGAUAUCAAGCGGAACACCGGUGGCGAAGGCGGCCUUCUGGACAGUGACUGACGCUGAGACGCGAAAGCGUGGGGAGCAAACAGG